CCUCUAACUCAGGAAAUCUUUCAGCAGAGCAACUGAGCAAGUUGCGGACGCCCCCUCUUCAUCAUCUUCUCUACAGGGCAAGUCGCCACAAUCGGAACAACAAAGGAACAAGCAAAUGGAGAACAUUAAGCUAUAAUCCUAAAUCUAAAUCUGGGGAUAGAUAACUUGAGGUGGACUUGCUGUUGCAUCUAGCAUGUUGGGCUACUUAUGAGAAUUUUAGAUACCGGUAUGAUUGGCGUGUCUCUUUGUUUAAACUCCCAGAUUCCCGCUUUGUUCUACCUCUGAUUUAUGCCUUCAUGGGCAGCUCAAAAAAAAUAGCCAGUGAUUCACCUACAUUGUCAUAUGCUAUGAUGUUCAAAAAUUUGACAUGUGGAAGACUUCACUAUGAUAAAGAGUUAGAGAAAUUGUUAUGCGUCGUGUAUCGUGUAGUAUCGUAGUAGCUAUUACCAGUUGUUGGACACAAAGUGACACUAAUAACUAUUAGAUUAGAAUGGUUUAAUUUUUUGGUUGUUGAUACAUUUAAUGAAAUGUACUAGUAUUAUUUUUGUAUGUAAAUAGGCAUAACUGCUUUAGAAAUGUUGGGAUAGUCCCUUAUUCAUUUUUAUAGGCAAUAAAAAAGUUGUUAAA